rnacentral:rRNA from 1 species
GGAAGGAUCAUUACUGAACUGUCCACAGGAGUUGUUGCUGGUCUCUGUAUGGCGGCAUGUGCACGCCCUGUUUACACAUCCACUCACACUGUGCACCCCUCCGUAGUUCUGUGGCCUGGGGCUCUGUCCUCCCGCUGUGGUUCUAUGUUUUUACACACACACUGUAAUGAAGUCUCAUGGAAUGUAUGUCGCGUCUAACGCAAUCAAAAUACAACUUUCAGCAACGGAUCUCUUGGCUCUCGCAUCGAUGAAGAACGCAGCGAAAUGCGAUAAGUAAUGUGAAUUGCAGAAUUCAGUGAAUCAUCGAAUCUUUGAACGCACCUUGCGCCCUUUGGCCAUUCCGAAGGGCAUGCCUGUUUGAGCAUCAUGAACAUCUCAACUCUCAUGGCUUGCUAUGAUGAGUUUGGACUUUGGAGGUUUGCUGGCCCGCAGCCAGCUCCUCUCAAAUGAAUCAGCUUGCCAGUGUUUGGUGGCAUCACAGGUGUGAUAAAUAUCUAUGCUUGUGGUUUUCCACCAGGGUAACCCUCAGCAAUGGAGGUUCACUGGGGCUUAUAAAUGCCUCUCUUCAGUGAGGGCAGCUUUUGACUGUUUGAUCUCAAAUCAGGUAGGACUACCCGCUGAACUUAAGCAUAUCAAUAAGCGGAGGAAAAGAAACUAACAAGGAUUCCCCUAGUAACUGCGAGUGAAGCGGGAAGAGCUCAAAUUUAAAAUCUGGUGUGCCUCUGGCCAUCCGAGUUGUAGUCUGGAGAAGCGUUUUCUGUGUUGGACCGUGUAUAAGUCUCUUGGAACAGGGCGUCAUAGAGGGUGAGAAUCCCGUCUUUGACACGGACUACCAAUGCUUUGUGAUGCGCUCUCAAAGAGUCGAGUUGUUUGGGAAUGCAGCUCAAAAUGGGUGGUAAAUUCCAUCUAAAGCUAAAUAUAGGCGAGAGACCGAUAGCGAACAAGUAC